GACGAACGCUGGCGGCGUGCUUAACACAUGCAAGUCGAACGAGAGCGUAGAGAAAGCUUGCUUUUUCUACAAUCUAGUGGCAAACGGGUGAGUAACGCGUAAACAACCUGCCCUACGGAUGGGGACAACAGCUGGAAACGGCUGCUAAUACCGAAUACGUUCCGAAAGUCGCAUGACUAUCGGAAGAAAGGAUGGCCUCUAUUUAUAAGCUAUCGCCGGAGGAGGGGUUUGCGUCUGAUUAGCUAGUUGGAGGGGUAACGGCCCACCAAGGCGACGAUCAGUAGCCGGUCUGAGAGGAUGAACGGCCACAUUGGAACUGAGACACGGUCCAGACUCCUACGGGAGGCAGCAGUGGGGAAUCUUCCGCAAUGGGCGAAAGCCUGACGGAGCAACGCCGCGGGAGGGAAGACGGCCUUCGGGUUGUAAAGCUCUGUUAUACGGGACGAAUAAUCUUGUGGUUAAUACCCAUGAGAAGUGACGGUACCGUAAGAGAAAGCCACGGCUAACUACGUG
rnacentral:rRNA from 1 species